CUGAUGGAGUAGGAAACUCAACUGAUUUAGACAUUUAUACCACAGCACAAACCAAAGACAAAAAACUGAUGGUAGUAAGAUGAAAUCUUCCUGAAAACAACAAACUGAAGGAUUCAACUCCAGAUACAGGUAAGGUCAAACAAACAGAUGGAGUUUGAUCCAGUUAAGCAGCAUAGGCAUUUUUGUCCCUGGAUCUGGUCGACGAGUAGAAAAGGCCCUGGAUGGAGGCAGACUCUAUCUGCAUUACAACGCCAUAAGGGAUCUUGUCAGACUCCACUAUCACCCUCUUCCGUUCUCAAGGUAGAUGAUCCUUUAAUAUCUGUUCGGAACUUUAUGCAUGACUUCUCGCUGAGGCACAGAAGAUUUUGUUACUGAAAAGACUUGAGUGCAAUGUAAAACUUGAAAAACUGUUAACAUUCAUGUUGUUCUGAGUUAUUUGUUGAUUUCUCAAAAAUUAAAACCUAUGUUGUCUAACCCAUUUGAAAUUCCUGGAGCUUAAAAUCAUGUGUAGAUACACUCA